GUUUAUUUCUUCCCCUUCUCCUCGCGGGAGCAGACACCCUUCCAGCCCCUCAACUUUCACACACUGCUCUCCCGUUCUUUGCCUCCUUCCCUCCCUGUCGCCCCUUUUCCUCGUCUCCCUCCUCCUCCUCCUCCUUUUCCAGUUCAGCGGCGCAAAUUUCUGUUUGUGCCAGUGGGGCGGCCUGGCGAGACCGCAAUUGCUCUACCCCACAGAUUGACGAGCCCUCAGAUGCCGAUUUACUGUACAUGGCAGCCACGCUGGAGCCGCGGCACAUCUGGAGUGGAGUAAGCUUACUCAGAAACAGGGGCCAGCUCCAGCCGGAGCCAGCGGAGCCGAGCGCGGCGCUGAAAGGCAGCCCUCCUGCCUCCCCUUCCCUCCUCCCCGGAUCCCAGUAGGAAAGGGCCAAAAUUCCCUGUGAAACAUCUUGCCCAGGUCUCAGCCUUCUCACCAGGGGAAGCAGUGAGCAUUACCUCCUCAUGGCUGCUUAGAAACUGCUCAAGGUGAAACUCCCUAAGGAGGGGACUCUGCGUGGGAGAGGUGUCAGCCAGCAUGAAAAGACUGAAUUGCACAUCUCCAAGAUCCAGAAUGUCCUUUCUGUGCCUGAAGUCAGGAGCAGCAUCAUGGGUCCAGGGAGAAAUGCAGGGAUGGCACACCAUUUUGCAUAAUCUAGGUGACUACUGAGAUGGAUAAAAUUAUUUCUUUGCCAUGAAAUGAUUUAUUUGGAAAAAACUCCACAUGUCUACACGGAAAGGCUGAUGGAACCAGUCUCAAAAGCAAAGCUAUUUGGCAAACUUCAAGAGAGAUCUUGGCAGUUGACUGAAAUCUAAAGUUUUUAAGGGACAGUUGGAUUUUAGCUGAGUUCUUCUAGAAGCCUGCAGGGCUCUGGCUGGCAGACCAUUGCUCAACCUUUUGACUGCCAGGGUGGAGGAUUGAUGGCCUAUCAUUGCAGGAUGGCCCACCAAGUAGUCUACCUUUGAACUAAAGACCUCAGGCCUUCCAGGUUUCAAAACUGGGACAACACUUGUUUUGAAACAUUUUUGAUGUGUUUUGGUAUUCAUUGGAAAUAUUUUUAUGAAUUACCAAAUCCUGACCCCAAAAAGUGUUCUAUAGGAGUUUUUUUAACAGCUCUAUUCUAGUCUAAGUUUAAUGACCCUGAGGGGAAAAAAAAGUUUCUCCAUAAAGGAGAAAUAAAACAGAGUCCAAUGAAUUAGUCUGAAGCA
rnacentral:lncRNA from 1 species